rnacentral:tRNA from 1 species
GCGGGGUUGCCCGAGAGGCCGAAGGGGCAGGGUUGAGGGCCCUGUGGCUUAGUGCCUUCAGCAGUUCGAAUCUGCUACCCCGCA